CAGGUUCACCUAUGUGAAAGAUCAGUGAACCAACGUGUAGUGCGGCUUCUCUUGCUGAGAUUACGGACGUGAUAAGUCACAGGAUGAGUGACUGUGGAAAGAACUGGAGGCACGUGCAUGAGUGCCUCACACUGUUGGGUUGUUUUAUCAGUAGUGGAUGAGAAACAGUCACACACUGUCAAGAGCUUCUUCAACACUGAGACACAGAAGAAUUUUUGUUUUACGGGUAACGCUGGGAGGGAUCAAGCUUAAGCAGCCUGACUCUUUUCAACCGAUGUACCACCAAAGUUGCCCACCAAAGGUUACCUGAAAAUACAUUUCUACCUUUCAAUGUGCCUUUAACCAAACAUCAAGACUAAAAGGACCUGAAGUGAAGAUGAGCUGAUCCCCUCCAUAACCACUUCACCGUCGCCCUGUUUUGCCAGAAGGUCUGCAGAUGAAUGGCCACUGGCGGAUAAGAAUGCUGUCAGCCGCAUCUGGAGCUGAAGUAUGAUGUUUAAAAUGUGCACAGUUUGAACAGAGCAUACAUCCUAGUUAAAACAGGACCUUCAGCUUCCUGAAGUUUAUCAAAAUAAAUCUGAUUUGAAAGUUAUUGCA
rnacentral:lncRNA from 1 species